CUAUAAUGAUGGCAAUAGUUUUCAUCAACAGCAGUUUACCUAUUAAGUGUUGAUACUUUGGGGCUGAGUUG
ensembl:snoRNA